rnacentral:rRNA from 1 species
UACGUAGGUGGCAAGCGUUGUCCGGAAUUAUUGGGCGUAAAGCGCGCGCAGGUGGUUUCUUAAGUCUGAUGUGAAAGCCCACGGCUCAACCGUGGAGGGUCAUUGGAAACUGGGGGACUUGAGUGCAGGAGAGAAGAGUGGAAUUCCACGUGUAGCGGUGAAAUGCGUAGAGAUGUGGAGGAACACCAGUGGCGAAGGCGACUCUUUGGCCUGUAACUGACGCUGAGACGCGAAAGCGUGGGGAGCGAACGGG